UACGAAGGGUGCAAGCGUUACUCGGAAUUACUGGGCGUAAAGGGUGCGUAGGUGGUUGUUUAAGUCUGCUGUGAAAGCCCCGGGCUCGACCUGGGAAUGGCAGUGGAUACUGGACAGCUAGAGUGCGGUAGAGGGUAGUGGAAUUCCCGGUGUAGCAGUGAAAUGCGUAGAGAUCGGGAGGAACACCAGUGGCGAAGGCGGCUACCUGGACCAGCACUGACACUGAAGCACGAAAGCGUGGGGAGCGAACAGG
rnacentral:rRNA from 1 species